rnacentral:rRNA from 1 species
AUUGAACGCUGGCGGCAGGCUUAACACAUGCAAGUCGAGCGGAAACGAUACCAGCUUGCUGGUAGGCGUCGAGCGGCGGACGGGUGAGUAACACUUAGGAAUCUACCUAGUAGUGGGGGAUAGCUCGGGGAAACUCGAAUUAAUACCGCAUACGACCUACGGGAGAAAGGGGGCAACUUGUUGCUCUCGCUAUUAGAUGAGCCUAAGUCGGAUUAGCUAGUUGGUGGGGUAAAGGCCUACCAAGGCGACGAUCUGUAGCUGGUCUGAGAGGAUGAUCAGCCACACCGGGACUGAGACACGGCCCGGACUCCUACGGGAGGCAGCAGUGGGGAAUAUUGGACAAUGGGGGCAACCCUGAUCCAGCCAUGCCGCGUGUGUGAAGAAGGCCUUUUGGUUGUAAAGCACUUUAAGCAGUGAAGAAGACCAUAUGGUUAAUACCCAUAUGCGAUGACAUUAGCUGCAGAAUAAGCACCGGCUAACUCUGUGCCAGCAGCCGCGGUAAUACAGAGGGUGCAAGCGUUAAUCGGAAUUACUGGGCGUAAAGCGAGCGUAGGUGGCUUGAUAAGUCAGAUGUGAAAUCCCCGGGCUUAACCUGGGAACUGCAUCUGAUACUGUUAGGCUAGAAUAGGUGAGAGGAAGGUAGAAUUCCAGGUGUAGCGGUGAAAUGCGUAGAGAUCUGGAGGAAUACCGAUGGCGAAGGCAGCCUUCUGGCAUCAUAUUGACACUGAGGUUCGAAAGCGUGGGUAGCAAACAGGAUUAGAUACCCUGGUAGUCCACGCCGU